rnacentral:lncRNA from 1 species
UCCUCCAUGGUGCUUAGCAUAGGUAGCACGGGGGUUGUGCCUACGUGAGCCACGACGGCGCUGCUCACACCCCUGCCUCAUUCGUGAGCAUUACCUCACCCCUGCCCAAUUUGCAAGGUAGACACUUUGUGGGAGGAAGGAGAGCUCUUCCGCUGUGGGAGCCAUCGGGAAUUGUUCGCUUGCCGGGUGUUGGCCACUUACCCGGUGGCUCCAACUAAGUUGAGGUGAGCAGACUAAUCGAGGUUUUCUUCCACUUUUGGCGCAUCGGAUCUAGAGUCUUCCUUUCCUAUUUCAGUUUUCUUGGAUGGUAAGAUGUCAUGCUCGGAUUUGAAGAGACUUACCUCCAAAGAUUUGAGAUCUUAUAGAAAUUAGAACCGAGGGUCUUUUAAAAUGAAUUAUGCAUAAUAGUAUUGCUCGGUGAUGCAUAAUUUGUUGUUUGUCUCAUAAGCUAUAGUGCUAAUUUACAUAUUGAUUUCAUCGUGAUAUGACUUGAUUCUUAGACUAAUUUGUUUUGUUUCAGCUGCAGAAUAUACCAUAUAGUUACAUACAAAUGGUUGGUUUAAUUCUGGUUAAAAGUGUGAGGCUUUGGUGAAAUUUUGGUUCCACCACUAGAUGAUUUUAUUGUUAAGGUAGUGGUGGCCCUGAUUAUUUUAGCGGCACAUGAUGUUGUACUUGCUAUUCCCUACGAGUUGUUGUUAUUGUGUACACUUACAGGCUUCCAGACGCAAGUAACUACAAUUCAUAUAGGAAAUUAUAGUUGUUGACGCAGUUGGAGCGCUUGGUGCCACGUCGAGUUCAUCUUAUUAUGUAUAAUUGUUGGCAUGCUUAGUUGAUCCUAUUGUGGUUACCCGAUUGUUUUGGGUUGUGGACCCGGAACAAAGUGGAGUUAUAUUCUGUUUUUUUCCUACAACUCACAUGAAAAAUUGGAGUUUUGUUCAUUUUCUGGAUUUUGUUUCCCCAUGUUAUUUUUCUUACUCUUCUUUCUUUUGUUUUUCUUUGCUUCGCCUUCACCUGAUUUAUAAUGUUGUUUAUCUGUUUAUUGUUUUGCAGGUGCUGGUUUUCAUGUGAGCUGCUGGUGGUGGUUGCGCAUUGAUAGGUGGAUGAUCUUUUUGUUCAUGCACAACCUUUGUGCCUACUUCCGCUGGUUACGAUUUAUGUGCCUAUUUUGUGUAUUUUUGUUUCUAGUAGUAAUUAUUCAAGUGGAGGUCAGAUGUAGUGACAUAGAUGGCUGAGCAAUAUACGUGUUGCGCUGCUGCUGAAUUAGGAGAAAAAUAAAUGUUGCUGGUAGUGGAAUUAUUUGUUUUGCUUUUGGCAACAUAUCCGAUAGUCCCGUGUCCAGGCUAUUCAUAGAGUGUGGUCUAGGUGGUCUUCUGGGUGCAUUUAGAAAGGUGCUCUAUCUAAAAAUAGGGAAUGGUAUCUAGAUAAGUGUUUCCAUAAAUAAUGUCACAUUUCUUUUGCUAAAACACAUAUAAGAACAUAUUCACUGUCACAUCUUUAUAGCAUCGAUGUUCGUUCGUUAACACAAGUCCUUAUUGUCAAAUUUGUUGCUUAGUGUAAUAUUAAUCAUAUUUUGAAUCUCGUGAAGCAAGAAGAGUAUUUUGGUGGAGCACAAUUUAUGAAGGUAUUUGUGUGAUUAAAAAACCUGAAACUUCCUAAUAGUUACUCCCUCUGUAAAUUAAUAUAAGAUCACCUAAAUCAUUACUUUAGUGAUAUAAAAGAUUUUAUAUUAGCUUACAGAGGGAGUACUCAAUUAUUAUGUAACACUUGAUUUUCUCCAUCUACGACUCUGUUCUGUUUUCUAACACCAGUGUAGUUUUUUUCUUAUUCAUCCUUGCACAAAAUUUAGUCUUUAAUGAUUUGGUAUAACCAAUGUGCAUACUAUUCGAUGUAGGCAUUUAAUUCGUUUUAUUUUUUGUUCCAUGAUGAGAUGAUGGAUUGUAACAGGGUAGCCAUUUCCUUCUCUUUAUAACUCUUCGAAAACAAAAUGGUCUUGGUUAUGUGGUUUAUAUCGAUGCACUCUCGAGGAUUAAGGAUCUUUGCAAUGCCAGCCUUUUGAAUUCUUGUCUUAGUUUGAUAUAAUUUAAUUGCAAUUAUGUACAGAUGUUUCAUUUGGUCCGAUAUAAAAAGUACAAUAUGAGUGUCCAUUGAACAAUCCGAACUUAGAUAUGAGCAUUGAGUUGCUGAAUAUGUCUAUCUGAACUAUACUUCUAUUAAAAUUAGAGUACUCUUAAAUUAUCUCAAUGUUUCGUUUGGGUGUUUUUCUUCAGGAGCAACCUGGUUGGGUGGUGACGUUUCUGAGUGGCCAAGCAAUAGCUACUUUUUGUCUACUACCUCUGCAGUGGCUACUUCUGCUAUAAUGCGCAUCAACACCAGAACCACGUUCCCUAUCAUGGUAUGAGGCUUAGCAUCAUCAUCUGCUUCCAAAAGUUUGUGUUUUCAAAUGCUACCUCAUUUUGGGCUGAACGGCUUUCGAUCUUCGGAAUGCAUCACUUUCUAUGUACAUGACUUGCUCUAAUCUUGAUCUAUUAAACGUUUCUUUUGGUCUAUUCCUUUGUGCCGAGCUUGAUGUGAGUCAAUUGUAUUCUGUGAUAUUUAUUUUGAUUGGAAAAUUCAUGAGGUUAAAGAUUUGGUGCAUUGUUUUUGGUGUUGAACCGUGCAUUGAUUGCAUACUACACUGAGUUGAAUUUUACGUCUGGACCAGACAAUGCGGCGCACACUUCCUAUCUAUGUCUACAAUUUUGGUUUCAAAGUUCCUAUCGAAUGGCUGCAAUUUUGGUUUAGAAAUUCCUGUCGAGUGGCUAUUUUUUGUGGUCUUAUAAACACAUUGAAAGUGAUUAUGCCUUAUAG